ACCACUUUGGCGGAGUGGUUAACGCAUUGCCCUGCUACCUAACAGUAGCUGCCAGGCAAUUCCCUCGGGAGCACAGGUUUGAAUUCUGUAGGUGAUG